CAAAAACAUUUCCUCUUAGAUAAAGAGGUAAGGCCUGCUCACUGAAUUUUAAAGAGCCGCAGUAUUCUAACUGUGCUAAGGUAGCAUAAUCAUUAGCCUUUUAAUUGGAGGCUGGUAUGAAUGGCUUAACGAGAAAUUAACUUUUUUUGUUAUAAAAAUCGAAUUUAAUUUUUUAGUGAAAAAGCUAAAAUUAUUCAGAAAGACGAGAAGACCCUAUAGAGUUUUAUGUUUUAAAAAAAUAAAUUUUUAUUAGAUUUCUGAAUCAUUUAUUUUUAUAAACAUUUUGUUGGGGCGACAUAAAGAUAAAUAAAACUCUUUAUAAUAAAAAUUUUUAUAAAAAUAUUUUUGAUCCUUUAUAAGAGAUUAUAAGAAAAAAUUACCUUAGGGAUAACAGCGUAAUCUUUUUUAAGAGUUCUAAUCGACAAAAAGGUUUGCGACCUCGAUGUUGGACUAAAAUUUAGGCAGGGUGCAGCAGUUCUGCUUUUAGGUCUGUUCGACCUAUAAAA
rnacentral:rRNA from 1 species